GUGAAAACUGCUUCUUCCCCACUACAACAUAUCCCCGGACCAAACCCAUCCUGGAAGCCAUGGUGGAGAAAGCAGUCUUCAGUGGGUUGAAGACUGCAAUGUCCAGGGGUUGCAAAAUGUGUGUAGUGUGUGCAGGUGCAUAUUUAACAAAAUGAUGCAGCCAUUUUAAAAAGAGCUCAGAAUCCAUAUACCCCUUAUCUUGGAUGCCAAAGAGGGCAUUGGGGGGCCCAUCCAGCCUGUAGGCAUUGCUUGGAAGGCACUGUGAUGUGCUCUCUGGUUGUCUGCUACUGCUGGUACACAUGCUUUUUCCCACCUGGCACAGGACCUUCUCCCUGGACCGAGAGUUUAAAGAAUCCCUCGAUGGCUUCCGGUGUAGCACCAUGGACUCUAGCUCUGUCCAGGGAAUCGGUGGCCGGGCCUUCAAUCGGGACCACCACGUCACUUGGCCCAUUCUCCAUAUUGACCGUGGUGGUGGCAGCUCUACCACUUUCUUUUAUUAUCCCAGUAACCAGUACUUUUAUCAGGGAUCUGGUUACUGGAAAGCCAUGGUCUGCCAUCCAAAAAAUAAAUGAGUUGUCUUUCCUGGUCAUGGGUGAAAGAGGGGAAAAUGAGGUUGACACUGAUAUACAUUUUAUGUCUGACCUGGAAGUAUUUAUUGAGUAAUUGGUGGUAAAAGGUCAACUGAACGGAACAUUUUUGUGUAAGAAACAUGGUUAGUCUACGUUACCAACCU